AACCACCAACACUCUUCUGAAACUACACCACCAUAGAGAUCAAGGCCAUUGCCGUCAUUAGAACCACCGCAUCAUCGCCUCUCUCUCUCUCUCCUCUUGGAUAAAGGAUUGUCUCCAUUCUCCAUCACUGAACAUGGCCAAACAUCGUUGAUUUUCUGAUCAUUCACGUAGGGUUUCAAAAGGAGAUUAUGAUCGAUUCAACAUCAAGAUAAUCUAUUAUCAGUAAAACAUCAAAUUCAAACGUUCGUGUAAUCACAUACAUUCUCCAUAUUAGGUUUUUAUCGCACUCAAUCCUCUUUCAUAUUCGUUAUCUGAUUCGGUCUUGCAUUCAAUUUUGCAUUCUUAAUAUAUGAACGAUUAGUCAAUCGGUGGAAAGAAUUCAAGGGAAAAAAGAGCGAGAUGUGAGCAUUCUUCAUCGUUAAGGUAAUCAAUAUGGCGAUUAUAUUUCUCAACCAUGUUACUCUCUUCCGCCACCUGCUACUUCUCCUCCGACAUCUCCUAGACCAUAAAAAAAGAAGCCUAACAAAAGAUAUUUGAGAAUCAAAGAUAAUAAUUCUUUGGAACAGGUAACAUCAAUCACCUAGAAUUUCUCUCGUAGUUAGUAAACAGUUUUUUGUAUCAUUUUUAGAAUUAGGGAUUUACGUCAUUUGCAGGUGACAUAGGCUCUUACACUUGCAGGCCUGCAAAAAUGAUUAGUCAAAAGAAUAUUUAUGGAUGACUUCUGCAAAAAUCAUGUACUAAGUUUGAUGGAUUGCGUCCGCCCAUGAACAUCGAAAUUGAAAAUUUGAAAUUUUCCUAGAACAUCUUACCCCAAAAAAUGUAUGUAUCAAUUUUACAACUAGGACUGUACAAUAGAUUAUUUAAAUUUCACUGCUUGUUUAAUGAUACGUGAAACGAUCUUAAAAAAAAUAGUUUCUUUUCUACUUUUGGAAACUUGAUAACUUGUCGAUUCUAAUUUGGUCUAAUGGUUCAAUUAUACAAGGUUGAGUACUUGCCGAUAGUUCUUGUGCAACAGCACGCAUCGAAGGUCUUGACUCGGGUGCUAAUCGUGUACACGCUAGAGCAACAUUAAGCACAAACACCACUUGUUCGGCGACACUAUCAUUAGGAGGCAGAAGCCUCUGAUCAAGG
rnacentral:lncRNA from 1 species